CAGAGAGUUGAUCCUGGCUAGGAUGAACGCUAGCUACAGGCUUAACACAUGCAAGUCGAGGGGCAGCAUAACGAAAGCUUGCUUUGUUGAUGGCGACCGGCGCACGGGUGAGUAACGCGUAUCCAACCUUCCCUAUACUAGAGAAUAGCCCGGCGAAAGUCGGAUUAAUGCUCAUGUUCUUCUUUGAUGGCAUCUGACGAGAAGCAAAGGUUUACCGGUAUAGGAUGGGGAUGCGUCUGAUUAGGUUGUUGGCGGGUAACGGCCCACCAAGCCUACGAUCAGUAGGGGUCUGAGAGGAAGGUCCCCCACAUUGGUACUGAGACACGGACCAAACUCCUACGGGAGGCAGCAGUGAGGAAUAUUGGUCAAUGGGCGAGAGCCUGAACCAGCCAAGUAGCGUGCCAGGAUGACUGCCCUAUGGGUUGUAAACUGCUUUUAUGCGGGAAUAAAGUCAGGUACGUGUACCUGUUUGUAUGUACCGCAUGAAUAAGGACCGGCUAAUUCCGUGCCAGCCGCGGC
rnacentral:rRNA from 1 species